rnacentral:tRNA from 1 species
GGGCGAUUGGCUCAGGUGGUUAGAGCGCUGCGCUCACAUCGCAGAAGUCACUGGUUCGAGUCCAGUAUCGCCCA